AUGGGGUAAUCUCUACAUAUAUUUACACUUAACAUAAAUUAAAUGUAUACAUUGAACAGGUAAACAGUCUUCUAUGAUGGGGUAAUCUCUACACAUAUUUACACUUAACAUAAAUUAAAUGUAUACAUUGAACAGGUAAACAGUCUUCUAUGAUGGGGUAAUCUCUACAUAUAUUUACACUUAACAUAAAUUAAAUGUAUACAUUGAACAGGUAAACAGUCUUCUAUGAUGGGGUAAUCUCUACACAUAUUUACACUUAACAUAAAUUAAAUGUAUACAUUGAACAGGUAAACAGUCUUCUAUGAUGGGGUAAUCUCUACAUAUAUUUACACUUAACAUAAAUUAAAUGUAUACAUUGAACAGGUAAACAGUCUUCUAUGAUGGGGUAAUCUCUACAUAUAUUUACACUUAACAUAUUUAAAUGUAUACACUGAACAGGUAAACAGUCUUCUAUGAUGGGG